rnacentral:rRNA from 1 species
CUACGGGGGGCUGCAGCUAAGAAUCUUCCGCAAUGGACGAAAGUCUGACGGAGCGACGCCGCGUGAACGAUGAAGGCCGUGAGGUUGUAAAGUUCUUUUCCGAGGGGAGAAUAAGGAUGGCAGGGAAUGGCCGUCUGAUGACGUGAACUCGGGAAUAAGCCCCGGCUAACUACGUGCCAGCAGCCGCGGUAACACGUAGGGGGCGAGCGUUGUUCGGAAUCAUUGGGCGUAAAGGUGCGCAGGCGGUUAUGCAAGUCUGGUGUGAAAGGUCUCGGCUCAACCGAGGAAACGCGCUGGAAACUGUGUAACUAGAGUACAGGAGGGGGAGGUGGAAUUCCAGGUGUAGGGGUGAAAUCUGUAGAUAUCUGGAAGAACACCGGUGGCGAAGGCGAACUUCUGGCCAUGUACUGACGCUGAGGCACGAAGGCGUGGGGAGCAAACAGGAUUAGAUACCCUUGUAGUC